rfam:Medicago truncatula strain A17 chromosome 5, whole genome shotgun sequence.
GGGCUAUGAAGACAGGCCAGUGCCAAAUGUGGUGACGGGUUUCAUCACUAUCGCUAACUUCGGUUGCGAAAAUUUGCACUUCUGAGCUC